GGGGGUGUUCCCGAGCGGCCAAAGGGGACGGGCUGUAAACCCGUUGGCUCUGCCUUCGGAGGUUCGAAUCCUCCCGCCCCCA
rnacentral:tRNA from 1 species